GCAGUGCAACAUCUGCCUAAUAACACGCCCAAGCUCGGAGAUCAUCUCCAGCCUUAACAUAAGCAUACGUCCGUGCAAGAACUGCAUCGUCGGCAAGAUACGAGCUUGUGUGCCCAUGCGAGGCAGAUCCAAGAAUGUGUGCCUCGGCCGAAGGGGACGGCGCCUCAUGCGUCGGCAUGCUGCAGGGUUGACUAUUGCUUGGUUUCGGGCAUCUUAUGACAAUGCAUCGCCCACACCGUGCGUUGACAACCUAUUAGCACGCUCUUGCAUGGGGUUGGGCCCCAACAGCUUUGGUUGGAUCUUCCAUCCAUGUCUCGGCCUC
rnacentral:lncRNA from 1 species